rnacentral:rRNA from 1 species
CCCUUCGGGCGGGGGAGUAACCUUCCGAAAGGAGGGCUAAUACCGCAUAGGACCACGGCCGAUUCGUCGGCUGAGGUCAAAGCAGGCCUCUUCAUGAAAGCUUGCACCUGAGGAUGAGUCCGCGGCCCAUCAGCUAGUUGGUAGUGUAAAGGACUACCAAGGCAAAGACGGGUAGCUGGUCUGAGAGGAUGAUCAGCCACACUGGAACUGAGACACGGUCCAG